rnacentral:rRNA from 1 species
AUUGAACGCUAGCGGGAUGCCUUACACAUGCAAGUCGAACGGAGUGGCGAACGGGUGAGUAAUGUAUCGGAACGUGCCCAGUAGCGGGGGAUAACUACGCGAAAGCGUAGCUAAUACCGCAGACUCGUGGAGCGGCCGUUAGCGGAUUAGCUAGUUGGGGGGGUAACGGCUCACCAAGGGGACGAGCCGUAGCGGGUUUGAGAGGACGACCAGCCACACUGGGACUGAUACACGGCCCAGACUCCUACGGGAGGCAGCAGUGGUGAAGUUUGGACAAUGGUGGAAACCCUGCUCCAGCCAUCCCGCGUGUGCGAUGAAGGCCUUCGGUUUGUAAAGCACUUUUGUCAGGAAAGCGGUACCUGCAGAAUAAGCACCGGCUAACUACGUGCCAGCAGCCGCGGUAAUAC